UUUUUGUAAUUAAUAUAAAGUCUAAUCUGCCCCCUGAUAAAUUAUUAAAGGGCUGCAGUAUUUUGACUGUACAAAGGUAGCAUAAUCAUUUGUCUCUUAAUUGGUGACUUGUAUGAAAGAUUGGAUGAAAUAUAAACUGUCUCCUUAUAAUAAGUAAAAUUUAAUUUUUUAGUAAAAAAGCUAAAAUAAUUUUAAAAGACGAGAAGACCCUAUAGAGUUUAAUAAUUAUUUUUGUAUAAAAUAAAAUAUAAAAAUUUAAAUUUAAAUGAAAAUAAUUAUUUUGUUGGGGUGAUAGAAAAAUUAAAUUAACUUUUUUUAAUAGAUAUACAUUAAUAAGUGAUUAAAUGAUCCAUUAAUAAUGAUUAUAAGAAAAAAUUACCUUAGGGAUAACAGCGUAAUUUUUUUUUUUAGGCCAAAUAAGAAAAAGAGUUUGCGACCUCGAUGUUGGAUUAAGAUAAAAUUUAAAUGUAAAAGUUUAAAGUUUUGAUCUGUUCGAUCAUUAAAA
rnacentral:rRNA from 2 species